rnacentral:rRNA from 3 species
UACUUGGCCACUGAGUCGUUGUCUCGCCAGAGUCUAUGUUUUUCAUUAUACCCCAUCGAAUGUCAUUGAAUGUUUUUACAUGGGCUUAUAUGCCUAUGAAAAUUGUAAUACAACUUUCAGCAACGGAUCUCUUGGCUCUCGCA